AUACGUAGGGGGCAAGCGUUGUCCGGAAUUACUGGGCGUAAAGAGCUCGUAGGCGGCUCAGCAAGUCGGUCGUGAAAGCCCGAGGCUCAACCUCGGAACUGCGGUCGAUACUGCUGUGGCUAGAGUCCGGUAGAGGAGAGUGGAAUUCCCGGUGUAGCGGUGGAAUGCGCAGAUAUCGGGAGGAACACCAGUGGCGAAGGCGGCUCUCUGGGCCGGUACUGACGCUGAGGAGCGAAAGCGUGGGGAGCAAACAGGAUUAGAUACCCUAGUAGUCC
rnacentral:rRNA from 1 species